GCCAGCAGUGGAGUAUGUGGUUUAUUCGAAGCAACGCGAAGAACCUUACCAGGUCUUGACAUCGUAUGCAUAGUCUAGAGAUAGAUGAAAUCCCUUCGGGGACAUAUAGACAGGUGGUGCAUGGUUGUCGUCAGCUCGUGUCGUGAGAUGUUGGGUUAAGUCCCGCAACGAGCGCAACCCUUACCAUUAGUUGCUACGCAAGAGCACUCUAAUGGGACUGCCGUUGACAAAACGGAGGAAGGUGGGGAUGACGUCAAAUCAUCAUGCCCCUUAUGACCUGGGCUACACACGUACUACAAUGGC
rnacentral:rRNA from 1 species